AGCACCCUCUUGCCUGAGGAGCUCCGGCUGAGCCCACUCUCCCCGCGGCCGGGCGCGUCCCCCGCGCACAGAACAAGGGGGAGACCCAGGCGCGCGCUCGCGCUUCCUCCCCGGGCCGACCGUCGCGCGCCGCCCGCGCGCCGCCGCGGCAGCCCCGCGCGGGAAGCGCGACCCCGCUGCCUUGCAGUUCGCAGGCCCCGCUUGCAAAGUGGCGACAUGGCGCUCGUGCCCUGCCAGGUGCUGCGAGUCGCCAUCCUCCUCUCCUACUUCUCCAUCCUGUGCGCGUACAACGCCAUUGACAUGCCAGCGCAUCAGACCUAUGGAGGGAGCUGGAAAUUUCUGACAUUCAUAGACCUGGUUAUCCAGGCUGUCUUUUUUGGGAUCUGCGUAUUGACUGAUCUCUCCAGUCUUCUCACCAAAGGAAGUGACAGCCAAGAACAAGAAAGACAGUUAAAAAAGCUCAUUUCCCUCCGUGACUGGAUGAUGGCUGUUUUAGCCUUUCCUGUUGGAGUUUUUGUUGUGACAAUGUUUUGGAGCCUCUAUAUCUAUGACAGAGAAGUGGUUUACCCAAAGCUUCUUGAUAAUUUUAUACCCUCUUGGCUGAAUCAUGGAAUGGUUCUAAGGAGAUGUAAAGUGUCCUCAACUCUCAUUGGCUUCAUUUAGAGCUGACGACGCUCAGUACCUUGCAGUUUGCACCUACCACAUGUACAACACACACUUUAAUAAAAAUAAGGUUGAGAACAUUUCAGUAGAUGGAAGGCAGAGGAACUGCAGAUGAAGCAGAAGAAGAAAGAGGGAUGGAGGAAGAACUGAGUGUGUCAGAAGUUAAGAGAAAAGGUGAUAAAGGUGCAAGUUGCUUACAGUACAAGACAGAGAGGAAUCAAUGAAGAGGAAACCAAAUAUUGAAAUAAAGACGUGAUCAUGGUAGUCAGCUGAGAAGAGCCACAGAACAUGGAACUGAUAAUCGUAUGUCCUGUACAUUGCUGAGGAGAAAGCUCAAAAGGGAAGUGAGAAAUGUUUAAAUUACAUAGUGUAUAUUGAAAAUUUGCCCUCUACUUUAUUCCAGGCCAUCAUGUACAAUUUUGGUUUCAUUUGAUUUCCUGUGAAGUGUAUCAUGCAGGGUCAUCCUUUGCAGAGAGGUGGGUUUUUUUCUUCCCAUCCUCCCUGCCUAUGCAAAGCUUAAAAAAGCAUGAAUAUGUUUUCUCUAUGAUCUUCAUUUUGUGUUACCUGCCUCCCUGAAUUCACAAUCACGAAUUUCCUCAGGGCUCUUGAGUCUUUUUAUUUGAUCUCUGCUCUCUGUCUGCCUCUAGUGUGCCCCAGAAAGCACAUGGUAGCAGCACUGUGAUGGAAUGCACCCCUAUAUUCACACUCUACACACGAUCGUUAUAAUCUUCAUACCAAAUAUGCCUUGUGAGGUUUCAUUUGAAAACUUAAUAACUUUCUGGUCAAUAAUAUCAUGGUGAAAUGUAUCUAGCAAUAUAUGUAAAGUUAUAAAUUGCUCCUGAAUGAUGAUGGUGGCACAUGUUCAAACACACAUAGCCCCAGUUAGGCAGAACUGGCCAAGCAGGUCUUAAAGGAAUGUGGGUUUACUUCAGUUUACGUAUAAGUUGUAAACAGGGUCCUCAGACAGUGAGGGAGGGAAGACAGGAGACAAGAAAAAUCUUCAUUUUUGCAAACAGACGUGAGAAGAAACAGCAUGGAACCGCUUUCGCUACUAGACACCAUGUUGCCUCCUUUACUGUUUGAAUAAACUUGACUUUGAGGGGUAACCUAGAAGAAAAUGCAUCUCAAAGGGGGACUGGACUAUGAGAGUGAGGGGCAAAAACACCUGAAGUUCUCUCUCCCUAACCAUCUCUUUUUUCACCUAAGACGACAAAGAGAAACAGCUGUUGGACUUUGGGAGUAGAUCCUGGCCUGAGAGUUUGGUCAGCAGUGUUACUGGGAACAUGGUUCAAGGUGAAGUCCCUUACCACAAGUCCAGCUUGUUAAGUUUAGAAAGCAUUCUAUCUUUCUUUUUCUUGUAACCAUUUCUGACUUUAAUGCAUCAUUAC